rnacentral:tRNA from 1 species
GGAGGAGUCGCUUAGUUUGGCUUAGGGCGCACGAUUGGAAAUCGUGUAGGCGUUAAUAGCGCCUCGAGAGUUCGAAUCUCUCCUCCUCCGCCA